AACUUUUUACAGUUUUUUAAAACAUCUGGACAGCACCACAUCAUCUUCAUGUCUCUCCUUGCAUAUUUCCCCUUUCUUUCACUAAAAUUUGAGAGGGAAAUUAUUUACACCUUCCAACAAAUGCUCUAAUCUUUAAAACACCUGCGCUCCACUAGAAGCCUCUCAAAGAUCUGCAGUAAGUCGUGAAAACUGAGGAAACUGGGAAAGUGAGUAUUAAUAGCAGUGCCUUUCCGUCCCACUUCACUGUUUUCACUUUCUCUGGUCUGUCUUCACCCCUUGCUCCCUCAGACACCUUUGAACUGAGAGUUCAGGACUGUCAUCUGCUCAUUAAAACCACCAUCCGUUGCAUAAGCAGAGGCCACCGGGGAUUCAGGGCUGCGGUAGUGGUUUGACCCUUCUCCUUCCUGAGCAAAAAUACUCAACCCCCAACGGAACGCGCAGCGGCAGCCCCACCUCCAAUGGUCUUUGCCUCUCAUCAGUGAAAAAUGACUGGGGAGAGGGAGAAGGUGGAGACGUUACUUUAUUUGGUGGGAGAAAUUGGAGUUCUUUGAUAUCUUCAUCCAUUUUACAGACCUUGGGACUAAGAACAACAAAGGAAAUCAUGUUAUAUUCCACAUUGAAGUCUUUCCCACUUAUAAUGUGAUUUCUGUAGAGAAAAGCAUAAGAUAAAUAGCUAGGCAGCUGAAUUUCAUAUUCACAUUUUUCUGUCUCAUUCACUUGGGGACUUGUGUUGUUUAUGUUUUACCCAUUUGUAUCUAUUAAGUGAUCUGUAUGGUGUAUAGUGAUGUUUUUAGGGACAGAAUAUGCCAAUUAUAGAGAGAGGCAGGCUAGUUGAUAGUUUCGAGGGCUCAGCAUUAUGGAUUCACCUCCACAUCAGAACAUUAAAAAGAAAAGCAGAGGUUAUAAAACCUAGGAGAGGUUAUCUAUCUAUAAUGGUCACUAGGAUUUAAUAACCAGCCUUGAGUUCAUUUUGCAUGUACAUGCAAGGAAUGUUCUACUUCAUUAUAUCACAAGGAAUUUAAAACUAUUAUUCUAAAAUGUUGAGUUCUGGUUUUAAUGCAUUUUAAAACUUUUAAAAGUUUAAAUGAUCAUUUUAAAACAUCACAGACAUGUCCUUUUUUCUUUCUAAAAGAAGAAUCAUGACAUUCGAGGACUAAAUCCUCUUGCUCCAUAAAGCUAGUAAAAAUAGUAUUCCCCCACCUUUUGUCAAUCUGUCUUUUUCUGUUUUUUGCCUCCUUAUCUAAAAAGUUAACAUUCAGUGAAGAAAGUGAUGAAAGCAGUUUGAGAAAAAUAAUAAGCUCACAUUUGACUAUGAAGUGUAACAGACAUCAGGAGAGAGAGAGCUGUCUCCAGAACCUCUGGAUGUGGAGGGAGAUGUAGCUCCAUUAAUUGUUAGUUCCUGUGUGUGUGUUUAAUUUAGGCCUCUUGAUUGAGUGACCAUUAACUCAAUGUCGUGCUAAUUGACCAUGGCUAGUCAAUAUUACAAUGUAGCAUUAAUUUUACAUUGCUUUAUUUUUAAAGGGAAGGAAAAGACUGACAUCAAUAGAAAAAAAUUUUAUGUGGUGACUUGUCUAGUCAAGAUUUUGAUUACAAGAGAAAGAAAUGAACUCAGGCAAGCUUCUGUAAAAAAGGGAGACUAUAGUGAUCAUAAGGAUACAAAAUUCACAGAAAUGGUAUAACUGGGCCUUGUCAGUUUUGUAAAACUUGAGAACUGAGGCAACUACUGCUUUUUGUGGCUAUCCAAUCAUCUGUUUUCAUUUGUCUCUGUUUGUACUCUUUGUUUCUCUGUAAUUGCUAUAUUUUACUUAGAUAUCAGUUUGCACUUGACCCCAAAUGGCAACUUCAGUCCCUAAAUCUAUAUGAUUUUUUAGUUUAAGCCCACCUGGAAUUGGUUAGAGUCUCUGCUUUUCUUGUGACCGUCCACAUCCCAAAUGUAGAAUAGUAAUUUUUGCUGCACAGUGAAUGAAUCAGGUGGUAGUGGGUCAAGUUUUUACACCUAUAGCAGUCAGGUUUUACAGAGUCAGAGUGUCAGGAAGGCAAGCUCUUUAGAAGGAACUGUAGGCAGAUGUAAAUAACUGUGUUUGGUUCAGUAAUUUUUUAUGUAUGAUAAUCAUUGACUCAACAACUAUUUCACUGGGCAUGUACUAUGCACCAGACACUAUUCUAGGUCCCAGAGAUGCUGCAGGAACAAGCAGACUGAAAAGUCCCAGUGUCCCUAUAGUGUUCACAUUCUAAGAACAGUCUUUAGCCAUCAAAGGUAACUGGGAUAAAAAAGGAGUAGCAAUGUCUCCAUAAAGUAAAUACAAAAUGUCAAAGUACAUGUGUAUGUAAUGCUUAUAUUACAUAUGUAUAAUUUGCAAACAUCAUAGUCAUAUUUGCUUUCACUUUAUUCUGUAACCGUCAAUUGUGUGUGAGUGAGCAUAGGUGUGUACUGGACGCAGUAGUUGGGGUCUUUGGGUUUUACAUGGCAUCUGAUUUGUAGACCUUGAUGCAGCUUCUAACUUCCUAUUAAAAUGACUUUGAAAAUACACCCCUCCCACCAAUUAUAAUUUAAAAACCACUAAAACCCAGGUGUUAGAGUGAUU